rnacentral:rRNA from 1 species
UGGGGAAUUGUUCGCAAUGGGCGCAAGCCUGACGACGCAACGCCGCGUGGAGGAUGAAGGUCUUCGGAUUGUAAACUCCUGUUGACCGGGACGAAUGGCCCUGGAUCUAAUACGUCCGGGGAGUGACGGUACCGGUUGAGGAAGCCACGGCUAACGCUGUACCAGCCGCCGCGGUAAUACCGAGGUGGCAAGCGUUAUUCGGAAUUACUGGGCGUAAAGGGCGCGUAGGCGGCCGCCUAAGUCAGACGUGAAAUCCCCCGGCUCAACCUGGGAACUGCGUCUGAUACUGGGUGGCUUGAAUGCGGGAGAGGGAUGUGGAAUUCCAGGUGUAGCGGUGAAAUGCGUAGAUAUCUGGAGGAACACCGGUGGCGAAGGCGGCAUCCUGGACCGACAUUGACGCUGAGGCGCGAAAGCUAGGGGAGCAAA